rnacentral:rRNA from 1 species
AUUGAACGCUGGCGGCAGGCUUAACACAUGCAAGUCGAACGAUGACUCUCUAGCUUGCUAGAUAUGAUUAGUGGCGGACGGGUGAGUAACAUUUAGGAAUCUGCCUAGUAGUGGGGGAUAGCUCGGGGAAACUCGAAUUAAUACCGCAUACGACCUACGGGUGAAAGGGGGCGCAAGCUCUUGCUAUUAGAUGAGCCUAAAUCAGAUUAGCUAGUUGGUGGGGUAAAGGCCUACCAAGGCGACGAUCUGUAACUGGUCUGAGAGGAUGAUCAGUCACACCGGAACUGAGACACGGUCCGGACUCCUACGGGAGGCAGCAGUGGGGAAUAUUGGACAAUGGGGGCAACCCUGAUCCAGCCAUGCCGCGUGUGUGAAGAAGGCCUUUUGGUUGUAAAGCACUUUAAGCAGGGAGGAGAGGCUAAUGGUUAAUACCCAUUAGAUUAGACGUUACCUGCAGAAUAAGCACCGGCUAACUCUGUGCCAGCAGCCGCGGUAAUACAGAGGGUGCGAGCGUUAAUCGGAAUUACUGGGCGUAAAGCGAGUGUAGGUGGCUCAUUAAGUCACAUGUGAAAUCCCCGGGCUUAACCUGGGAACUGCAUGUGAUACUGGUGGUGCUAGAAUAUGUGAGAGGGAAGUAGAAUUCCAGGUGUAGCGGUGAAAUGCGUAGAGAUCUGGAGGAAUACCGAUGGCGAAGGCAGCUUCCUGGCAUAAUAUUGACACUGAGAUUCGAAAGCGUGGGUAGCAAACAGGAUUAGAUACCCUGGUAGUCCACGCCGUAAACGAUGUCUACUAGCCGUUGGGGUCCUUGAGACUUUAGUGGCGCAGUUAACGCGAUAAGUAGACCGCCUGGGGAGUACGGCCGCAAGGUUAAAACUCAAAUGAAUUGACGGGGGCCCGCACAAGCGGUGGAGCAUGUGGUUUAAUUCGAUGCAACGCGAAGAACCUUACCUGGUCUUGACAUAGUGAGAAUCCUGCAGAGAUGCGGGAGUGCCUUCGGGAAUUCACAUACAGGUGCUGCAUGGCUGUCGUCAGCUCGUGUCGUGAGAUGUUGGGUUAAGUCCCGCAACGAGCGCAACCCUUUUCCUUAUUUGCCAGCGGGUUAAGCCGGGAACUUUAAGGAUACUGCCAGUGACAAACUGGAGGAAGGCGGGGACGACGUCAAGUCAUCAUGGCCCUUACGACCAGGGCUACACACGUGCUACAAUGGUAGGUACAGAGGGUUGCUACACAGCGAUGUGAUGCUAAUCUCAAAAAGCCUAUCGUAGUCCGGAUUGGAGUCUGCAACUCGACUCCAUGAAGUCGGAAUCGCUAGUAAUCGCAGAUCAGAAUGCUGCGGUGAAUACGUUCCCGGGCCU